AGGAGUGCGGCUGGAGGAGGAAGCGGGUGUGCGCGGAGUGCCCUUGGCAGGCUCUGGGUUGAUGGCCCCGGAGAACCCAACCCAGGCAGUGGGGUUUGCCUCGGGGGCGGGGCGGGGCGGGGCAGAAGGUCGCUGUUUCUUUUUCACGUGAAGGGGUGAAAUCCAGCCCGUCCCUGGUGCAUCAGCAACUGCAAACUAGGCACAGCCUUCGCAGCGCCCCCCCCCCAAACACUCGCUACCCUCUCUCGGUCGCCGUCAGAUCCUGACUCAGUAGGGAAGGUCCGGGAGCUCUUGCCUGGACGGGAGACGGGCGCCUGUGGAGGGGAGCAGUGUCAGCUCGGGGAGAAAGUAUUUGACGAUUUGCUGCACUUCCUGUUAAGCGCAGCAGAGCCAGAUUGCCAGGAGCAUUGGCAACUCCUCCUCCUCCUGGCAGUUCCAGUCCCUGAUCCUCCGCAGCCCUGCCUGGGGUUCCGGCUCGCAGCAGGAAAGGGGAACCACAUUGCAAUGUUUGUUUGCACCACCGCCUUCUCCGGGCCUGCGUGAGCUGCUGGCCGCUGUGGCCCUGCCUCGCUGCUGAGGCUGCACAGAGGAAGGCGCAUUUCAGGGAGCGCUGGCACCGCCUCCGGCUUGACAGAGGGGGACGGACCUCGUCGCAGGAUCCGGACUCCAGGGAUUGUAUUUAUUUGCAAACGGGGUCGAGCUCAACUUCUGCACCUUCCUCUUUCUCCCCAGGGCACGUGUAAUGGGGGACCUGUCACUUUGCUGUGCAGAGGGGAGGGAACUUUCUCACCCACCAAGAGUCUCCGGAUAUUUUUGAACGGGCGGAAGAGUUAUAAACUGAACCGCAGGUUUAAGGAUGUCUCAUGAUCUUGCUCCUGGAGGAGACGGGGGCCCCUAGCAGCUCUCCCAGCCCCCACUUAAAAAACCGCAGCUGGAAGAAACUCCUCCCUUCCCCUUUGGUUCCCCCACCCCCUUUCUCCCCAGUUCCUGAGGGUUUGAAAACAAGCCCAGAUUGGCUGCUGGCGGUGGACAGAGGUGGAAGAGGAGCCAUCCUCCGGAGUCAAGCCGUGCUGAGCGGGAUGGGCAGCACUGCCAUGGACACCAAGAAGAAAGAUGCCUCCAGCAGCGGCAGCAGGAAAGGCUCCAGCCAGAAGAGACGCAUGUUGCGAGUGCACAUCCCGGAUCUUAGCUCGUUUGCCAUGCCAUUCCUGGAUGGAGAUGUGGAGAGCUCAGACAAAAGUGCUUCUCGAAAGGUGGAAGAGAGCUACCAUAUGGGCAGCCCUUCGAAAGGCCUUUUCUCAAAAGGGCUCCAAAAUCGACCUUCCAGCCCCGUUUCUGCCCCUGUGAGACCUAAACAUAGCCCAGGUUCACCAAAAACAGUGUUCCCCUUCCCAAAUCAGGAGUCUCCCCCACGCUCCCCACGCCGAAUGAGCUUCAGUGGGAUCUUCAGGUCCUCUUCCAAAGAAUCCUCUCCCAGUUCUAACCCGUCUACCUCGCCCGGUGGCAUCAAGUUUUUCACCAGAUCAAGAAAAACCUCCGGCCUCUCCUCUUCUCCAUCUACCCCAACACAAGUGACCAAGCAGCCUGCAUUUCCUCUUGAAUCCUAUAAACAUGAACCUGAGAGACUAGAAACGCGGUUUCACUCUUCUCCUCCGGACACAGGGCAGAGGUUUACUCUGCCUCCACCCCAAAAUGCAGCCAAGCCUCCCACGGUGAUGCCAACUCCCUGUGCUACCUCAAAAACAGCGGCGGCGGCAGCAGCAGCUGCGGCGGCGGCGGCUCCGGCUUCUCCUCAGCCCCCGGCCGCCUCCGAAGGGAUGCUGGAGAAACUAGAGCUCGACGAUGAAGCAUCUGAAGAAUCGGAAAGCGACAUCUACAUGCGAUUCAUGAAGUCUAACAAGUGUUAUGACAUAGUUCCAACAAGUUCUAAGCUUGUUGUUUUUGACACUACGUUACAAGUAAAGAAGGCUUUCUUCGCCUUGGUGGCAAAUGGUGUUCGAGCAGCUCCGCUGUGGGAGAGUAAAAAACAGAGUUUUGUAGGAAUGUUAACAAUUACAGAUUUCAUUAAUAUACUGCAUAGAUACUAUAAGUCUCCAAUGGUUCAGAUCUAUGAAUUGGAGGAGCACAAGAUUGAAACAUGGAGGGAGCUUUAUUUACAAGAAACUUUUAAGCCUUUAGUGAACAUCUCCCCGGAUGCAAGCCUUUUUGAUGCUGUAUAUUCAUUGAUCAAAAACAAAAUCCACAGAUUGCCAGUUAUUGAUCCUGUCAGUGGGAAUGCACUUUAUAUACUUACCCAUAAAAGAAUCCUCAAGUUCCUCCAGCUUUUUGUGUCAGAAAUGCCAAAGCCUGCCUUUAUGAAGAAGAACCUGGAUGAACUUGGGAUAGGAACUUAUCACAACAUUGCCUUCAUACAUCCAGACACUCCUAUUAUUAAAGCCUUGAACAUAUUUGUAGACAGAAGGAUAUCUGCAUUACCAGUUGUGGAUGAGUCAGGAAAAGUUGUAGAUAUUUAUUCCAAAUUUGAUGUCAUAAACCUGGCUGCUGAAAAAACCUAUAAUAAUCUAGAUAUCACAGUAACGCAAGCCCUCCAGCACCGUUCUCAGUAUUUUGAAGGUGUUGUGAAGUGCAGUAAGCUGGAAACACUGGAGACCAUUGUUGAUAGAAUAGUGAAGGCUGAGGUGACAGCUCCCUGAGAAGGAAAAUCACUUUUACAAGAGGAACCUGCUUCUUGAGACUUGCCACUUGAUAGCUGCAGUAUAGUUCAAUUCACACAACUUCAAACAUUCACUUAACAUCUAAUAGGAAAAACUGUUCAUCGUCUGGUAGUAGUGAAUGAAGCAGAUAGCAUUGUGGGUAUCAUCUCCCUCUCUGACAUUCUACAAGCAUUGGUGCUCACGCCAGCAGGUGCCAAACAAAAGGAGAGUGAAACUGAGUGACUGCUGUGAAUGUAUAAAGCUUUCUAGGAGAACUUGAACAAAGUUUCUGAGUCAAGUUUGCCUCAAGAACACUGACUGCAAUAGAAACGAGAAGAACGGUUAUGAGAAUGUGUAUUGAAACUCAGUGAUGGGUAAUGUCUGUAUUUUCCCCCAGUGGUGUCGCAAAAAAAGCAGCAUGACAAAAAAGCUUAUAUGUUAAAAAAUGUAGGCUUGCAUUUCAAAAUGUCUUCAAAACAUUUGCUGAAAGACUAUGUCCUUCGUUAAAAUGCACUGUAUUCUGAAACUGUUUCAUUCGUAUUUGACAGAAGUCACUGGUCAGCAACAGACAUCUGACAUAAGGCAAGUGUAUGGCAUAUUCAUAUCAUAGUGCCUUAUGUCAAAUACAGCAAUAUGUCAUCAGUUGCCCAUCACUGUCAGAGGAAGUAUUGUGCUAAACAAGACACUGUAUUUGAAUGUGAAAGUCUUUAAACCUAAAACCAAAUCAGUUUCAGUUCUCAUUAGAUUUGUCAUAAAGGUUGUAAUUUGAAUAUCAGUAGAUUACUUUAAAACUUUAAUGACGGUUUCGUGUUUUUAAUGUUGCAUUCUGAACUGAUAUGUAAAACAAGACUGAUUUUAAAAACAGCUUUAUUUAUUUUUACUUUCAUGGCAAUUUUUUACACAUUUUUGGUGGAUAGCUAAAAUUUCACCAUGUCCAUUAAUAAACUGUUGAUUGUUAUACAAAAAAAUGGCAGAUUUUUCUCAUUUUUUAAAAAUUGGGAGCUGCAGAAGCUGUAGCUUAUAGAUCAGCCCACAUGACUUCAGUCUAAGGUUUUCAAAAGCACAUGUUGAAAAGUGUUAUUCUGUACUGUAAUAGACAGGUACCGUGGAGGAGACUAAGUGCCAGAGAGCUAUAUAUUUUCCUGUGUACUAAAAUGUUAAAUCAUGUUUGUAAGAUUGCAGAUACGAUUUUUUGUAAAUUAUAAUGGAUAUACAGUUUUCGUACAGAUGCAAAGAGCGAGGAAAGGUUUUUGCUAAUGUAAAUGCACCGUAAAGCUUAGAGAUCACACUAUAUAAUUGUAGACUUUCUUCUGCAGAUGGAAGAAAAUAAACAAACCUUACUAUAUCAGUUUGUUCAUAGCAGUUUUUGAAAAUGCCAGGUAUUUUUGCAUGUACAGAUUUUACAUGCUGCUUACAUCCUUCUUUUCCCACCUGGAUAUUUGUUAUAAUGUAAGACAUUGAAUCACUCUUAUCUCCCUUCCCUCUUUACAGGCUAAUUAUACAUUAAAGGGACACUGUUACUUUUUAAAAGCAACUGUCUUUAUCUGGGUUAUUGUGCAACACCUUACACUAUUAAGACUGAAUGAAUGUUCAGUCUCGCAUUGAUGGGGUAUUUCUCCAUUUCUCCCAGAUAGGACAAUGAAAAUGGAUUGAUUUGUCCCUCUCUAAUUUCAGGCACAGGAUGGGAAAUGUUUAAAUUAAACUGAAAACUACAUUAAUGACUUGUUUUAAAAAAUAUAUAUAAAAACCUGUCUUGUCAAAACUUGCUUUCUAUAAGCCUGAAGUUUGGGUCUACUGUUGACAACUCCUUUUUUAAUAGCACCUCAGACUUUUUUCAGUAUAAAAUCUGAACACAUUCACAUAGUACACGGUCAAAAAAAUUGUUCACUAAUUUUUUCUCUCCCUUGCUUAUUCCCUCUGAAAAGUUAAAGGGUCUUUCUCUAAACUUUUCCUUUCUGACUAGAUAAAAAUUGACUCCCAUAUAGUUCGAAUGGUGCUGAAAUUUAAAUGGCUGCUUUGGUUUAACAAUAACCUCAGCAUAUAGAGUUAAUCAUCUCCAUCAUAAAUACCAUUGUCCAAGCUCUGGGAAUAAUGUUGGUGGAGAGAGAAAAAUAAAACUGAAUGGAGUGGCUCUUGUUUUUUCUCUCCUGUGGCAGUGUGGUAGAAUUUUUUUUCUUUGCACCUUCUUCAAAGUUAAGGCCUCAACAUUGUCCCUUUUUUAGAGAGCACUUGCAUAAUGUAUGUGUUCAACACGGUCUGUUUUAUUGGUGGUGUGUAUUUGUAAGCCCACCGUUCUGCCGAAGAAGGGAUGAAAAUUUUAUUCAAUUGAUGUGGUAAGCGAGACUGAUCAAAGCAGAAGUUUAGUCACUUGAGAAUUAAUUAUAUUGGCUGAACUCCCUCCUGUCAUAGGGAGAAUCACAAUCCGGUCUAAGUCUUUAAGAAAAAGAAUUAUCUGAAUUAUUGCAUAAUAGUUAAAAUCAAAAUGCUCUAAAUUCAUAAAGGAGUGAGAGACCCACAAAAGGAGGCUGAGGUUUUUGCUUCUGAUUCAGCAAAGCACCGAAGUGUGUGCUUAAAGUUAGUGUUUGCUGAAUUGGGUCCUAAGUCCAGAACAGUACCCUUUUCUCCCACUUUUUAUUUGGGCAUUGCUGAGCGCACAAAUACAUUGUAAGACCCUCUGAUAAAAGGACUACAACCCUGUUACAUGCCACUGGGGAAAUAUUUAUCACAAAUACAGGUGGUGUACAGACUGCUGUUCUAUUCCCAAUAUGUACUGUUCCCAAUACAGCAUUAUCUGUUUUAAGACACACGAGUUCUUACGUUCGUAUGCUGUAAAUAAUAUGUAUGGCCUAUGUACUGCAUUUGGUAAAGUGUUGAAUUUGAGUCAUCUACAUCAAAAUAAUUGAACAGCUGUAAAAUAAACAUAUAAAGCAUUGCUCUUAUACCACAAAAUGAAAUGCAUUCAAAUUUGUUUGUGUGUUUAAAAAACCAUGAAUGUAAGGAGUUUUGUUUUUUUAAUACAAUCAAGUGAAAUGAAAUGUCUGUUACAAAACUUGAAAUAGCUUAGUUUGUGAAAUAAAAUGCCAGUUAGACAA